rnacentral:lncRNA from 1 species
UCAUGGAUAAUCAAGAUUGCAUCUAAAAUUUUUUUAUAAAUCUAUAUGAAUAAGGAUCAAAUCCUUAACUGGAUUGCAGCAGAAUUGAAGAUCAAAUCUUCAAAAUCUGGAUUCAACCUUCGUGUAGGCCUGAAACUGCAGAACCUCUACUUCACGCGCAUGCCAGGCAACGUAGAAAAGUAGGAUGAAUCUCCUAAUCAAAGCACCUUUGCAAGGCCACUAAAGGAGGGAGAAGAGGUGCUGGUGUGACCCUUCACACCAGCAAAGGAGACGCC